rnacentral:lncRNA from 1 species
GCAGGCAGCUGCUACUGCUCCUGGGCUGGAGGAGCUUACAGGGACAGUUGUGAUAUCCAGGGCCCCAAGCCCACAGCCAGGCUAGAGCUGCCCUUGAUGGGGCAGGACACUUUGGAGUCUGGGAUUGCUCCCUGUUCCUGAUAGCCAACGGCAAUCCACGGCCCAGCCCUCCUGCCAAUACCUCUGCCAGAAACAAUUGCGCAAGCUUCCUCCCACCUUCUAAUCUCAUGGAUGCCUCCCAUGGGCGGAACACAAUCACAAUCCAACUGUCAGAUCCAUCUGACUUCUGCACUGGCUACCCUGAGGAUGUAAUAAGAAUGGCCACUUGGCGAGUACUGUUGCUCACACCUGUAAUCCCAGCACUUUGGGAGGCCAAGCUGGGAGGAUUGCUUGAGCCCAGAAGUUUGAGAUCACCGUGGACAACAUAGCAAGAACUCAUGUCUACAAAAAAUUAGCUGGGCAUGGUGGUGUGCACCUGUGGUCCCAGCCACUUGGGAAGCUAAGGUGGGCUAUUGCUUACGCUUGGGAGGUGGAGGUAGUGAGCCAUGAUCAUGCCAUUGCACUUCAGCCUGGGCAACAGAGCGAGACUCUAUUUCAAAUAAACAAACAAAACAAAAUGAUUACUUGUAGAAGAGUCUAUUCAUUAUUUCCCAGUGUGUGUCCUUCUCUUAUUCCAUAAUAAUAGAACCCUGGUUUGCAACUUGACAUAGGGCCAGCCUCACUUAUUACUACUUAAGAGUGGCCACUUACUACUAAUCCUGGCUGAUGAGUUGUAAGUGAAAUAAUUGUGUGCUUACAUUUAAGAGUGUGUAGGCUGGGCGGGGUUGCUCAUUGCCCGUAAUACCAGCACUUUGGGAGGCCAAGAUGGGAGGAUUACUUGAGGUCAGUAGUGCAAGACCAGCCUGGCCAACAUGGUGAAACCACUUUAAAAGUUGCAAAAAUUAGCUAGGCAUGGUGGUGCACGCCUGUAGUCCCAACUACUUAGGAG